ensembl:lncRNA
CCUAACUGUUUAUCUGUAAUUAAUGCUAGGUGACUACACUCUGCUAACCAUAUAUUUAAACACUUUUCAACACACAUCAAACAGCCCGACACCAAAUACAGUAAUAAAACACUUACUUGGGAUAUUAUGUAAAUAGGAAGAAGCCGCACAAAUAAUGGACUCAGCCGAACCAUCAGCUGGUUGAUCUUCCAACAAACUUUUUAACGGGCUUGGAGAAACAUUCUCGACAGGACUUUCAGCAGCUAUAAUGAUCUUUUACUUUUCUGUUCAGUUUCAUGCUCACUGUCCGUCCUCUCACUCGGCCUGAGGCUUUGACGUUUCCCACCAUCUCUUCAAUCAGUGCAUUGUCCACAUCUUCGGGAAUCAGUACCAUAAGGGAGUGGUCUUCAUCUAAUUCUUCUCUUCUGCACCACUCUUUGAGCUCUUUAAAAUCUACCGUACUACGCUGCAGCUCCAUUUUAUUAAAGGCUUGUUGUUAUUCACGAUAACCUACCCACUUUUCCCAUAGGGCUACACCUGUGUCGCCUGAAGUGUGGUUGGGAUAAUCCAAUACCCCAAUCCUUUCAACAGAAAUGGAACAAAUGGUUGAGAGCUCUUUAAACAGUGGGAAGUUUUAAGUUCUUCUCUCUUGCGUCCUGCGGGUUUUCCUCCACCUGCUCUGUGCCGCCACGUCCUUCACCUGCACUGCUCAGUUCUAUCAAAAGGAUCCACCUGUCACGUGUGUGAGCGCCUCUACGUUGCUAAGUAACGAACGUACGGUGGCCGAGAAGGUUUAACACCGUCUUCUCACGAUGUGGCGCGUGAACUAUAGUUGAAAUGCGUGUGUCUCACGGUCAAUGCGUGAGGCUUCAGAACCUGCAAUGAGUGUAUUAUGUUAGACGUGUUUGGAGAAGCAUGUAACGGACCGUCUCAUCCAGCCGAGGAAACGCUGCCUGCCGUCGCCAGAGAACAGAGCAGAAAGGUCCGCGUGGAUCUCUGCUGGCCGACAGUCUGUUAAACGGGUCUUCAUGUUUCUCUGAAGCAGCGCGGCUUCAGCCCGCUAACAGUCAGCUAAACCGAGACAGCUGAGCUAAACUAAGGAAGCGCACGUUCAAACUCGCCGAAGCGUAAAAUAGUCGUCGCGGUCCGUAGUCGGUGCACAAGAACCACCGCUGCACCGAUGUGAGCGAGCGUUCUGGGUUCAUGGAUGACGUCAUCAUGACGCGAUAAUAUCCGCCGUACUUUGUCUGUCUGUUGUCUGUCAGCUGCGUGCAAAUUUAGGGGGGAAAAGUAUUGUAACUUCGUCAACCACCAACAUGUUCGUCUCGUCUCGUUAACGAAAGUUAGAAUAGAUUUAGUCAUAGUUUUUAAGAUCGGUUUUCGUCACGUCUUAGUCUCGUCUUAGUCAUGGAAAAAAGGUUUGUUAACGAAAAAUUUUCGUCGACGAAAUUAACACUGAGAUACUCGCUCUACAACAUCAGGAGAAUACGUCCUCUUCUCACUGAGAACACACCUCUUCAGACUCUACCUCGACUAAAAGACUAACAAAUUGUAGCACUUAAAUUGUACUCUAUAGCAAAUUGUAAAUUGGCUUAUUUUAGUAAAAUGCACUUUCUUGUUUCUUGUUCAUCUGAGUUU